rnacentral:rRNA from 1 species
UACGUAGGGUCCAAGCGUUAUCCGGAAUCACUGGGCGUAAAGCGUGCGUAGGCGGGUGUUUAAGUGUGAUGCGAAAUCCUGGGGCUCAACCCCAUGGACGGUAUCGCAUACUGGACGCCUAGAGGAAUGCAGAGGCAAGUGGAAUUACCGGUGUAGCAGUAAAAUGCGUAGAGAUCGGUAGGAACACCAAUGGCGAAGGCAGCUUGCUGGGCAUUUUCUGACGCUAAGGCACGAAAGCGUGGGGAGCGAACAGG